ACGAGUUAUCCAGAAGAUCUAGAUGAGAUAACUGACGAUGAAAGUUGGGGGAAUGGAUGGAGAUAACCAGAGUGAGAACUCACAGUUCCUUCUCCUGGGGAUCUCAGAGAGUCCUGAGCAGCAGCAGAUCCUGUUUUGGAUGUUCCUGUCCAUGUACCUGGUCACGGUGCUGGGAAAUGUGCUCAUCAUCCUGGCCAUCAGCUCUGAUUCCCACCUGCACACCCCCAUGUACUUCUUCCUGGCCAACCUCUCCUUCACUGACCUCUUCUUUGUCACCAACACAAUCCCCAAGAUGCUGGUGAACUUCCAGUCCCAGAACAAAGCCAUCUCCUAUGCAGGGUGUCUGACACAGCUCUACUUCCUGGUCUCCUUGGUGACCCUGGACAACCUCAUCCUGGCCGUGAUGGCGUAUGAUCGCUAUGUGGCCAUCUGCUGCCCCCUCCACUAUGUCACAGCCAUGAGCCCUGGGCUCUGUGUCUUGCUCCUCUCCUUGUGUUGGGGGCUGUCUGUUCUCUAUGGCCUCCUCCUCACCUUCCUCCUGACCAGGGUGACCUUCUGUGGGCCUUGAGAGAUCCACUACCUCUUCUGUGACAUGUACAUCCUGCUGUGGCUGGCAUGUUCCAACACCCACAUCAUUCACAC
rnacentral:lncRNA from 1 species